AACGUAGGAGCCAAGCGUUAUCCGAAUUCACUGGGCGUAAAGCGCGUGCAGGCGGCUGGGUAAGUUGGAUGUGAAAUCUCCUGGCUCAACUGGGAGAGGCCGUUCAAUACUACCUGGCUUGAGGGCGACAGAGGGAGGUGGAAUUCCGGGUGUAGUGGUGAAAUUCGUAGAUAUCGAGAGGAACACCGGUGGCGAAGGCGGCCAACUGGACGAAUACUGACGCUGAGACUCGAAAGCGUGGGGAGCAAACAGG
rnacentral:rRNA from 1 species